CCUCACCUCCUUGAGGAUUUGAGUCGCCACAGAUGAGCCUUUCAAUGUAAGAAGAGGCGACGUCAUUAUCGUGCCUGGGGGAAUGCCAUGGUGUGUACAGUGUGGUGUCGGCAGUCCAUUUCUACAACUGCAAUUAGGGCCCAUCAAUGGAGGUGUCAGCCACAUUCAAAGUCGGUCGGGGCUCACCCAUGAAAUUCAUAAUGGGAUAAAAGUUCCAUUCCGGGACUGACGACUUCAAAUGGAAUUUGGUGAGUUCAGGGGAAUGGAUUCAAGAGCUGCUGUGCGGAGGGAUACAGCUUCAUCAGAGGAGAAGUCGGCCUGGGGAAGCACCUUCAGGCAUGCUGCCCUCCCCUGGCCCCCAGUCCAAGGAGGAAACAGUGACUGCAGUUCCCAGGAGGCUGCUCUCAAAGUCAUCCUUGCUUUGUUGAACCUCAAUUUCAGUCUCCCAUCCUGUACCUGUGGCCCUUUUCUCUUUAUCUUCCCUCACUCAUUAAGAAGAACUACUAUUUCCAAAACACCUACCUGUUCCUGUCACUCUGUGAAGGGCUUCCCAUGUCCUGAAUGCAAGGUAGGCGUCAUUAUCAUGCCUAGCUUAUGUAAGAGGAAACUGAGGCUGAGACAGAUUCAGUAACUUGUCCAAGGUCACCCAGUGGGUUGAGUGGUAAAGCUGGGGUUAGAACCAGGGGGAAGUCUAAA